UACGUAGGGUGCAAGCGUUGUCCGGAAUUAUUGGGCGUAAAGAGCUCGUAGGCGGUUUGUCGCGUCUGCUGUGAAAACUCGGGGCUUAACUCCGGGCCUGCAGUGGGUACGGGCAGACUAGAGUGCGGUAGGGGAGACUGGAAUUCCUGGUGUAGCGGUGAAAUGUGUAGAGAUCGGGAGGAACACCGGUGGCGAAGGCGGGUCUCUGGGCAUUUCCUGACGCUGAGGCGCGAAAGCGUGGGGAGCAAACGGG
rnacentral:rRNA from 1 species